UGAGGUAGUGACUCAAAAGGUUGAAGAAAUACAUCAAAUGGAGUAAAACCUUUUGUUUCUCUAGCUUUAUC
rnacentral:pre_miRNA from 1 species